rnacentral:rRNA from 1 species
GACGAACGCUGGCGGGGGGGGGAAAAAAGGAAAGGAGAAGGGAAAGGACGUGCGUGGGGGGGGGGCGAGAGUGGCGAACGGGUGAGUAACAAGGGAGUAAAGGGAACUUGACUUUGGGAUAACUUCAGGAAACGGGGGCUAAUACCGGAGAGGAGCUCCUGCUGGAUGGUGGGGGUUGGACCGUUGCGGCGGUUGGGGAUGGACUCGCGGCUUAUCAGCUGGUUUGUGGGGUAGUGGCUUACCAAGGCGGGGCGGGGUCGCCGGCCUGAGAGGGUGACCGGCCACAUUGGGACUGAGCUACGGCCCAGACUCCUACGGGAGGCCGCAGUGGGGAAUAUUGCACAAUGGGCGGAAGCCUGAUGCAUCAACGCCGCGUGCGGGAUCCCUUCCUUCUCGUUGUAAACCGCUUUCGCCUCUUACUCAGCGUGAGUGACGCUCAUUGGUCCCGAAGCCCCUUCUCCCUACGUC